UUUGUUUUUUUUUUUGACAGUCCACUCUUGGAUAACAUUUUAUUGCUUUUUAUCACAAACAAUGGAUAAAACUUGUUAAAACAAUAGAUGUUGUUUGGUUGUUAGCUGAUAUCAAUUAUCCGACAUUUGUUGCUCCAAUGCUCGAUUUUGUGGUACUGUACUUGCAAUUAAUUAAUUAAUUAUAUAGGUGUGGGUGUGUGUGUGUGAGA